GCAUGCUCCGUCGCCUACCGAGGCUCUAGCGGCUCCAAGGCGGAGCGCUGCGUGGCCAGGCAUGGCGUGGCCAGGCACGGCGUGCCAUCUUUAGGAUUGCUUUCAUCUGUGAAGUGACGACCCGAGACCCCGGCCGCCACAGACGAGACAUGGGACGGCGUGGGCGCGCGGCCGCAGCUCGGCGCACGUGCUAGACCAGCGACGUCAAGGUGUUGGCGUGCGCGGCUGCCUGGUGCAGCCUGAGGUGGCCUUGAUGGGAUGGGCUGGGCAUUUGCUCGGGGUCCUGAGGCCCCCUCUAGGGCCCCCUCUAGGGCCCGCCCCCCUAGAGCCCCCCCUAGAGCCGCCCCCAGGGCCCCCUGGAGACGCCCCUGGAGAAGCCCCUGGCGGGGCGCGGCGCUGCUCUUGCUGGCUUCCACCGCGCUGUGCC